AGCCUAUGGUUAACCUCUCUGACAAACAGGUUGUGCUUAACCCUUUGGUUCCUGAUGCUUCUUCUCUGUCAUCCAUGUUAGAGUCUGAACAUCUCUCCAGCAUGGGUGUGAAAUCUUCAGGCUGUGAUCCACCGCUUCAGUCAGGGGUCUGCUUUACUCAUCCGUCCACAUCGUGCACAAACCGGCUUCUUUAUCGGGGCGUGAUGGAAACGUCAGCCGCCGUGAAACACUUGUGGUCUCCGGACGGAGCCACCUUCCCAUUUGCAGGAACCUCAAAGUCCAACACCUCCAGGUCUUUGGACAUCUGAACACCUACUCUUUCAGCACGAUCCAGACACGGCAUAAGUUUGAGAAACAAAAGGGGGGUGGGGAGCCUCCUCCUGCUUUGCGAGCAUCAUUUUCGCAUUUCCAGUUCACUAUUAUUUCUGAUCACAACAAAGUCGCCUCCGUAAAGCUGCAACCCAACUUUGAGCAGGUAAAAUCAGGUUCUGAUCUAACAAUUAAACCAUCAGCUUCACUCGAGUUCCAAACGGAACCCUCAGGUAAAUUCAAACAAGUUUCCCUGUGGGUUCGUCACACAAGAUACAAACAGUUUGAUAACCAAAUCGCUUCUGAGCCUGCUCCCACAGAUACGUCCACACUCGUGUCUCUGUGGGUCCGCAAUACCAGAUUCAAAACGCUUGCUGAACAACACUAUUCUGACCAACUCUAUUCUGACCGGAUUCUUUUCCACUAACUGGUGGACCGUUACAAAUUCUCUCGUUUGUGGGAUGAAUUUUUAACAAAUGUGAUAUCCUUUGAAUUUUUUUUUUCAAAAUCAUUAGUUUAAUUUGAAGAAUUAAAACUUUUAAUUGUCAAACUGGUUUCCUCAUUGAACUGAAACACAGACACACAGAUAUUAUCGUCAGUUUAUCGAUGAAAACAACCUUUGAGUCUUCUUAACAAUAUAAAAUUUGGUUAUUGAUUUAUUAAAAAUUAAUAUUCCGAAUUAAUACGUAGCAUGGUUCCUCUUUCAUAAAAGAGCAUAAAACCACAACGCUACAAUAGGGCUGAGCUAAACCAGUUUCUCCUUACAAAGCCAUCCUAUAAUUUGUUCUGACACAUGUGUUUUAAUGUAGUUCAUUCAAUAUUCUUCCUUUAAAAUCAUCAUUAGAUGCCAAUUAGGAAGAAAAAGAUUUUUAUUUAAAAAUAAUUUCUUUCUUAUUUGUAAGUUGGUUUGUUAAAUUAAUUAAGUCUUUAAAUUUCAAUAUAUACAUUAAACACUCAGAUGACUGAAACAAUAUUUGAUCAGAUAAUUUUGUUACAUGCUUUAGACCAGUUACAGGUUAGAAAACUCAACAUGAGGACAUCCAGUCAUUUCUUUCUUUUUAACAGUUUGUUCUCCCAGAAUUUCCAUCAAAUCAGUGCAAAGUUUUUUGAAAGGAAAAUUUUUGAACAUUUUUGUCUUGAUUGAAAUGGUUUCUUCCUGGAUGAAAGUACAUCUAACAAUGAGUAUUGAACUCACACAAAUUGUGCAGUAUGGUGGUUUCCAUCAUCAGAUGUUCACUUAUGGGUGCAGCCGUUCCAUCGGCUCGCCCCUGCUGCGACAUCAUUGGGGUAAAUGGGUGCAAAAAUCAGGAAGAAACUAUUCAAACAUAACACUCGUGUUCCUUCGACAUUGCAGGUUAAUGUUGCAGUUCUCUAAUCUGUAAAGAUAACUCAUCACCAGCAGAGUGCAGCAGAAUCUCUUGUAUAAAACAGCAGAUAAAUCCUGAAUUCUAGGCCCUGUAAUUCUAACUCCACACUCAGUUUUUAUAGAUGAUCUCUGGAUUUGCAGGAUAUUUGUGUUUAAUUUUUCAACAAUACUUAUGGUUCUCAUUCACUUGCAUUUUCAAUUGUAGGUGAAUGGAGAUGACCCCGAUGAUUCAGUGCUGUUUGUGCUUGACUGUUGGGAGAAAACGCUGCUCAUUGCGCCCUCGUCUGUGUUAACAGGUAAAAAUGCACAAAUAACACAAUAACAGCAAUGAAGGAGAUUGGUUAGAAGUCCGGGUUAAUGAGGGGAAUGUUGGCCGUCUAUCCCCGUAUGUUUGUUUUGUAAAAUGUUAGUUAGCGUGAGUAAGCUAACAGCUAAGCUAACUUUUGUGCUAGGACUUAUUGAUGCUGCUAUAAAUGUUGUGUGCUUGAAAGGAGUGAGCUGUAACUGACUUAUUUUUUUUAUUAAGGUCAAGCUAAGGAUGUGAAUGUUUAUGUUAAGUGUUAAUUAAUUAUUCAGUGCUGUUUGACUGUUGGAGAAGACGCUGCUCAUUGCACUCUCGUCUGUGUUAACAGCCAAAAUGGAAUAAAACCUGCAACAAAACACACUGACUAUUUAUUCACGUGUGCAACAAAUGCAUUUGUUUUGGUUUAAAAUGAAUGCCUUGUGAGCCAUUUUCUGUUUCAGGAAGUAGAAGUUAGCCAGAGUGGGGGACAUAAAACGGCAGGACAUGGAGUCUUGCUCAUUAUUAUUCGUAAAAUGUGGACAUUUAGACUCUGAUUGGCUUACACCAGUGUGACUCUUCCACUGUCUCCGUUCUGCAACAUUAAUGUUUUACCUUCACAAAUAACACAAGCCUGAAGAAUUUUUGCCAUGUUGUGACAUUGUUGACGCUAACGGUUAGCUUCUACUAGCCGAGACGCGCUCCAGUCUCUCCUGGACGUUAAAUCAACAACAGCCUUCCCCAGUCAUGACCCAAGAUGUUGAGUCCUUUGCUGCAAACGUACAGCAUGACGUAGAUCUGUCUGGUUUUUCUGACCCGAGCAUUUUCCCGUUUCCCCAAAAUAGAGGUAGAAAACCAUUUUCAUGUUCAGUAUGCAUGUGAAACUCAGCGUGACCAAUCUUAUUUUAAAGAAUAGCAACUAAACAGUUUCAAUAUUCUCAUUAACAUUGUAUGUAGAGCUUAAAAUGAAUCAGGGUUUUGUCUCAGUUUAAGUCUAAUAUAAGAAUAGCUCUGAACUACCUAACAGCUCAUACACACAGUAAUGAAUUCCAGAAAACAAAGACGGCCCUGCAUAUUCAAAGCAACCAAACAUCCACCCACGUCGGACUUUUUGGCGUAUGGUGUGUGGGUGAUAAAAAGCAUCAAAUUAAGAUGGAAGCUUACAAAGCAGUAGUGUUUCAAUCGAGCAGGACUAAAUUUACGACGCAAAUAAGCAAACAGGGACCGCUGGUGUCCACAAGGUGGUUUUUUAACAGCGUCAGGUAAUGCUGUGUAGCGUUCAUCAUUUAUUUCACACAAGCCACAUUUAUCAGAGUGACUUUUAGCAGGAUGGAUGGAGCUCAUUAUGUUGAAAAUGGAAAAAAUAAGGAAAUUUCUCAUUUCUUUCUUUAUUUAAACUUAAGCAAAGCAGCAGACUGCUGUUGACUAACUGAUUAUGAGGGGGAAAAAUAUCUCCUGAAGCCAAAAUAGAACGUUUUUCAAUAACAGAAUUUCCAUUGCAUCAUUACGAGAAGAGGUGUUGGCCAAAUUAAACACUGAGCAUAAAUGGUCAUUUUUCUAUGAGUUUCUUAUUUAGCGACACUCUGAUUGAAGAGGUUAUUAACACAGUUUUAAUGCAAACAUCAGGCUGAAAUUAGCAUGUUCUCUCAAACAUAUGACUUUUUUUUAGGUCCAAUGAGAAGCAAAAGAGCACAAAUAAGAAUAAAUAUAUUUUUCUUUAUCAGGACUCGUAGCACCUGAGGGGACACUAAACAGGGUCGAUGUAUCAGAUGGAAGCAGUGAUGACUGACUGUGGUUUAAAUUGUGUUUUAUAACAUCAAGUGCCUCCUUAACUCUCACCCUCACAGACCACAAAACACUCCAGACUCAUAAAGUAUUCAUUUUCCAGGCUGCAGUAAUUUCAUCUGGGCUGUCGGGUGUUUUAUGAAAUAAAACGGGUAAGCGUGAAAAUGCUGCAUUGGAUAACUUUAACGUUUUACAGCCUCUUUCCGCCCAGAAUCAUGUGGUCAUAAGCAGCUUCUUGCAACCCCUCCCAAAGAAAAACAAACAAACAAACAAACAAAAAACCAACAAAAAAGAUGUCAUCUUCCUUAAAUUAUGCAUCAUGCUGAAAAACGGUGUUGUUCACUUCUUCUUAAGAUGCAAAUUAAAAGUAUCUGCUGGCUCCACAUAGAAAGUGAAAAAAUGAAGCAGCAUUCCCUCCCAAAACCUCAGGAAGUAAUCUGGACUACAAAUUCUAUGUGAUCCGGGGAAAGUCGGUUUCAUUAUUUCCAUCGCAUGCAGUUAAGGGGAAGGUGUGCAAGUCAUAGUGCGCCUGGAUGAGGACACGCUGGUGGUGCUUUCCUCCAUCGUUAUCAUCUGCUGUCUCUCGGGGCGCCUGAAUAGAAAAGUUACGUUGGGCAGUCCUGACAAGGGAAUAUUUUGUUGGGAAAUAAUAAUUUUUCUGGGUGAUUUCCGAAGUCAGAUGACAGAAUUUUGGGAAAAGUUGUGUUUUACAAAUCUAGGAUGUCCUGCUCUGCCUUUCAUCAUUGAAGAAAAGCAGUAUAUUUAGAUUCCAUGGUAUACAGCAUCUGAAACCGUUGAAAUCCUGGGAGUCACUUGGAAUAUUUGCACAGUUUUUUCUUGUACAGGUUUGCAUUAAAGUUGGAGUGGGAUCUCUUUUCUGGAGCAUUUUCAGUCAUUGCCUGAAAUUCUCUUCACAUGGAAACCAAUAAAUUUAAUGUUUUGUCAAAAAAAUUUAAUAAUUUUAAUUGUCUCUGAAAUGUAAAAUCCUGGUUAAUGUCCCAUUCUUAAUGGUUGGAUCAUAAUCCAUCCAACUGCCCUCUGACACCCACCUCUGCUGGCACGAAUCACACCUUCUUGGUGCCGCAUGCUGACAGACAAGGCAAGCCAUUGGGGUCCCCAAUGCCAUGCCAUUUGACAGCACUGUGGACUGUCACACAUUCCCUGACGGGGCUUUUGUUUACUUUAAUGAGUUUCUGCACAUGCUCUGUUUAGUGUCUGGUUCUUGUCUUUUUGGCAAAAAUUUGGGUGACGGAGUUGUCAUCUGUGAAUGCAGCCAGUCUUGUUGGCUGGCAGAGCUGUUUGUCAGUUUGAUGCCUAGGCAACAAAUGUGUGUGUGUUAAUUUGUAUGGGGAGCCAUCCAAGAGGGAAAAGCAAAUCUUAGGUGGAUCGAAGUGGGUUCGCAAAAUAUUUUCCACUUGUUCACUGUGUUUCCCAGAUUGUUGGCAGAACUUUUGAAGGUAAGAAUAAACCAAGAAAGCCAACGACUGCAUCAUUUUUCACCAUAAAAACACUGCGUUAUAUAAGCUAGCAUACUAAAUUGUUAUACCAUUACAAUAGGUGCGUUAUAUUAGGAUAAAUAGCAGAAAAGGUGCCAACAACAGAUCGAACAGGUGAGAUAACGUUAUGUUAUGGUAGUUUGACAGAAUCUAUUGUGUCUGGUGUUAUACCAUUUUCUGUGGCCAUUAGAUUCUGUGACUUUUGGGGGGGUGGGGGGGG